UACAGAGGGUGCAAGCGUUACUCGGAAUGACUGGGCGUAAAGGGCGCGUAGGUGGUGCUGUAAGUUAGGUGUGAAAUCCCUGGGCUCAACCCAGGAACUGCGUCCAAGACUGGGAGGCUUGAAUCCGGGAGAGGGAUGCGGAAUUCCAGGUGUAGCGGUGAAAUGCGUAGAUAUCUGGAGGAACACCGGUGGCGAAGGCGGCAUCCUGGACCGGUAUUGACACUGAGGCGCGAAAGCCAGGGGAGCAAACGGG
rnacentral:rRNA from 1 species